rnacentral:lncRNA from 1 species
ACCGUGCCACCCAGCUCCUGUUAAGUUUUCAUCUUAUUUAAAGAAGUCAUGUUUAAUUUAGUUGUGUGUGCUUUUUCCCUUAUUGCAUGUGCAAUAAGGAAAAAAUAAGGAUUAAGUCCAGAGCCUCCUGCAUGCACGCGGUGCCACUGAGCUUGCUCCUCAAGCCCUGAUGGAAUCUUGUUACAUGAGCUCUCAGUGCUUGGCUAUGGAGAUGCUUCUGUGUUACCUAGGCAACAGUCGCUGGCUGGUCCUUGGCUGUGCACUGUUCUUUAUGCGAGUGAAGCAUGGAGUGUUGUCUGUUCUGUCUUGGUUUUCUCCCUAGAGUGAAGCCCCACUCAGAGUCCAGCAGCCGUGCACCUCCUUUGCAUUCAACUCGGCCCUUUUUUCUUCCUUUUUAUGAUAAGGUCUUGUUGUCUAGCCCACUCUGGCCUGGAGCUUGUGAUCUUCCUGUCUUAGCCAACCUCCCACCCCCACCCCAUGCUGGGAUGACAGGUGAGCACCUCCUUAAUUGGAUUAAGAAGUUGAAAUUUCAGACUGAUAACUCAAAAACGUUGGGCCUUGAAGUGAGCAGUUUUUGUUCCUUUCCAAAAGUCAUGUGACGGAUGAGCUCGUGAAACUGGCAUCAGGAGUUGCUGUUAGCAGUGGAACCUUGUGUGAGGUGUGAGCUGCGGGUCUCUGUAAGCCCUGGAAACAACUGGGAAGAGU